AUUGAACGCUGGCGGCAUGCCUUACACAUGCAAGUCGAACGGUAACAGGUCUUCGGAUGCUGACGAGUGGCGAACGGGUGAGUAAUACAUCGGAACGUGCCUAGUAGUGGGGGAUAACUACUCGAAAGAGUGGCUAAUACCGCAUGAGAUCUACGGAUGAAAGCAGGGGAUCGCAAGACCUUGUGCUACUAGAGCGGCCGAUGGCAGAUUAGGUAGUUGGUGGGAUAAAAGCUUACCAGGCCGACGAUCUGUAGCUGGUCUGAGAGGACGAUCAGCCACACUGGGACUGAGAAACGGCCCAGACUCCUACGGGAGGCAGCAGUGGGGAAUUUUGGACAAUGGGCGCAAGCCUGAUCCAGCAAUGCCGCGUGCAGGAUGAAGGCCUUCGGGUUGUAAACUGCUUUUGUACGGAACGAAAAGCCCCGGGUUAAUACCCUGGGGUCAUGACGGUACCGUAAGAAUAAGCACCGGCUAACUACGUGCCAGCAGCCGCGGUAA
rnacentral:rRNA from 1 species